UACGGAGGGUGCAAGCGUUAAUCGGAAUUACUGGGCGUAAAGCGCACGCAGGUGGCUGAGUCAGUCGAUUGUGAAAGCCCUGGGCUUAACCUGGGAAUUGCAGUCGAUACUACUCAGCUAGAGUAUGGGAGAGGGUAGUGGAAUUCCCGGUGUAGUGGUGAAAUGCGUAGAUAUCGGGAGGAACAUCAGUGGCGAAGGCGGCUACCUGGCCCAAUACUGACACUCAGGUGCGACAGCGUGGGGAGCAAACAGG
rnacentral:rRNA from 1 species